rfam:Rattus norvegicus chromosome X, whole genome shotgun sequence.
GGGGAUUUAGCUUAGUGGUAGAGCGCUUGCCUAGGAAGCGCAAGGCCCUGGGUUCGAUCCCCAGCUCCG